rnacentral:rRNA from 1 species
GAUCCUGGCUCAGGAUGAACGCUGACAGAAUGCUUAACACAUGCAAGUCUACUUGAACUUCGGUUUGGGUGGCGGACGGGUGAGUAACGCGUAAAGAACUUACCUCACAGCUAGGGACAACAUUUGGAAACGAAUGCUAAUACCUGAUAUUAUGAUUUUAGGGCAUCCUAAGAUUAUGAAAGCUAUAUGCGCUGUGAGAGAGCUUUGCGUCCCAUUAGCUAGUUGGAGAGGUAACGG